CAUGGCAGUCCAGUCUUCUCUCCUGAAGGAAGAGGGAUUUUGUUGCCUGUUUCCACCCAUAUUCUCCUCUCUUUCUGGAUUAGAUGCAGCAGGUACAGGAGAAGCAGCUAUGGCUGGCGCAGGGGGAAUGGCAGGAGGGGUUGGAGAAAACCUUUUCUUUUUUUGUUUUGGGUGCUUCUGAUUGCCAGGCAGGAAACUACCUACCACAACCUGCACAGGACUAGCAGCUACUAGAAGUCCAGCAACACC
rnacentral:misc_RNA from 1 species